CAUCGGACGCGUCUGAGAUGAAUUAUGGCGGAGGAUAAAUAACGGAUAGUUCGCGGCGCUCCGAGGAUACAUCCCGAUUCGGCUCUAACCGGUCGCAUUGGAUUCGCGUUCGGCCUCGUAAAUUUUUAUCGCAAGGCUCUCCGUAUUUAUGUACACGUCCCGCGUACUUAUUUAUAGAUAGCGCGCGCGAUCGCGAGCUAACGAAGAGGAGCUGCGCCGGCCAAGACGAAUGUCUCGAGAUGCGCGUUGGCUCUUGUUUAUGAUUUAUCGCCGAGGACGCCAAGGCAAUCGCGGCGACCUCGUCGGGCGGACAAUAAAGAAGCCGGCAUUUUUACGAGCACGUAUCCGGGCUGCGCAGCUCCCUGUUCGCAUCUACAAGCGACAAGCGGAGCGAAUCGAGUCCGGAGUAAUCUGCAGCAGAAACAGGAGGCGGAGCGCGCGAGAUUACCGGCGUUCGAGCUCCGCAUCCUGCUCGUUUUAAGGAUCAUUCGUCGCGGCUCGCCGUCGAUUGCGAGCCGUGCGGCCGGCCGACGACAUCAGAUCCGAGCCACGCGCCGAGAUGGUACAGCGGCUGGGCUCUCGGUUUAGCGCGUACCUGUCAACGAGGCUACAGAGCGGAAUCGAGCCGCUAUACAUAGGUAUAGCUAUGCGUAGGCUAGCUGGCGCGCGGGGAAUAUGUUUGCUGCAGCGGCGGGCUUGUGUACACGCGCCGGGUCGAGAGAUACAGGGGGCUACAGAGCUACGGGCCUUGACGAGCUUGCGGCGAUACCUACGCUACCCAAGGCAGAUGGCAUUCCGAAUUUCGCCGUAGCGCGGCGACAACGACUUACUUGCUCAGUUCUCUAAAGCGCUUUGUUCUCCUUUUUCGGAAAUUGCAACUGGGCGAGUGGGAGGAACGCGAGCGAAUUUCCCGCGAAUUUCCCGCGAAUUUCCGCGGCCGCCAGAGGUUCGUCCCGUCGUACUCGCCCCAUAGAUUUUCAUGGCAAACAAUAAAGCGUUUAAUGCCGACUCGGAAGAAGCGAUCGUGAAGCCGGGAUCGAGCGUAAGCCCUCGGCGGCAGUAACGCGAGCCACUUUCACGAGCGGCCGCAUAUGAGCUAGACCGCAGAGCAAAAACCCCCGCGUAAAGUCAACUCAAGUCCGUCCGCGCAGUUUGCAAUUGGCGCAUAGGCACGCAUCGGCGCGCGCGGGCCUGCUUUUUCAAAUUGCCGAGAGUGCGGCCGCGCUGCUGGCAUAAUCGAUGAAACUCGACGAGAAGCGUUGCGCCCGUUGCCUGGAGAAAAAACGCAGCCGGCUCUGAAAAUGCAAUGGCGAAUUCCCGGACUAAUAUUGCGUGGCAGUCGGCCGAAGUACAAGCUUAACCGGCGAGUUAUACCAGCGCGCUCGCCAACAGACGCCAACAGACGCCAACAGACGCCGAGAGGGAGAGAGAGGCCGAGCGAGAAGAGUUAAGGGGUUAAUGUUAAGGCAAGACGGGGAGGAUCUUAAUCUCGUUGCCGAGGCCGCGCCUCGCGGAUUUUCCACCUGGCACUUCCUGCCCAGGGGUGUAAUUUCAGUAAUUUAAUUCGCCGGCUUAAUGGAGGAGAGACCGCGCGCGGCGAGAGCGGGGGCGAGGGAGAAAAUCGCCCGCAGCUCGUGUAAUAGUUGCAGCGGGUCGAGAAGAAUAAGUGAGGCGAGAUUGAAGCUGCGGACACGCGACUGUUUGAAUUUGCGCUCCGGGAGGCAAUACUUUUUAAUCACGAUGCGCCGCGCUGGAAAAGCUUUCGAAGAGGACUGAGAUAACUUGUUGAGUCGCGGCUCAUCGAAGCCUGCGAAAAACUCACCGCAAAAUGUAGGCGCGCAGGGGAACGCCGUGACUCCAAAGAGCCCGCACUGAAUUAUUGAGGCCAUCAUCCGCCCUCCAUCCCUCUCGAGUCUGCACACGCGCACACUUUAGCCGGCAUCUCAUAAAUCCUCGGCUACGUAACCUACGGCCCCUUUCAUUCGACGACGCGCGAAGCCCUCUCGUUGCCUCUCGUCGUUCGCGCGGGCGCGCGCGCGCUUUUUCAGAGUCGCGCGCGCGCGCGCUUCUGCCUCAUUCGCUCCCCGAACGACGCCGCCACCGACGACAUUAUCGAGGACGUCGCUCGGCGGGAUGUGGGUUAAAGAAGAGGAGCGCGCCUGGAUUUUCCGGGCUGUCGGCGCUUUGAUAACGAAACGCCCCCGCAUCGAGGAAAUUGAAUGCGAUAACGACGAGCUGAGAGCGGAAGCUGCCGCGACAAAGAGCUCGAGGCUGCGGCGGCGCGUGUUUGCAUCGAGAAUACGAGACGCGAGACGGGCUAAUAACCGAGCGCGAACUAGAUCGGCUGAUUUUUUCGGCACUCUUUUCAUUUCCGGCCCCGCAUUCGUCCCAUUCCGCGGCGAUUUAAGUUCUCCGCUCGCGCUCAUCUGCUUGUUUAAGUAACCAGCCGGCUUCGGAGUCGGCGGAGGAGCGCAUUUCAAUAAAAGGUACACAUUAUUAAUGCCAUUCCGAGUUCCGAAUUGCCAGUUCUCAACUAUUUAAUAUUUAACGAAGGGAUCGCCCCGCCGGAGCAUAUUCAAAAGAGCUGCAGCGGGGGCAAAUUACUUUGAUUGCUCGGCGCGGAACUUGCAGCCCCGAGAGCCAAUGACAGAUAUAAAUACUCGGCUUUUAAUCAAGUCUCGACGACGGCGAAAUCAACUUUCCGACGACUUUAACCGCGCUGAAUUAUGGCUCCUCAAAAAUUAACGCAGGACGACUCGGAAUUCUCCGCGCUGAACUUCCUUCGCAGCCACUUUCUGCACUGAAUAUUUCAUUGUGUAUCCCCGGCGCGCGAGUCUACGAACACUUGAUAAACAGCCGCGCGGAGCGCCGUAUGCAAAUUGCCUAUUUUCCAGCCUGCAGCAGUCGCGCUCUCUCUCUCUCUCUCUCUCUCUCUCUCUCUCAAAGGCGGUCAAUGGAUUAUCCGUAUGCGGAGGACACUUUAAUGCAGCUCGAAACGAGGUUCGACUAAGUGCAACUUUUCUACCGCAUAAUCAUCGAGAGUGCAUGGGGCGGGCAAAGGAGAGGGCAAAGCUUCGUUAGUAUCUCUUCAUCUCGUGCCGCCCUCGCCCUACCUCUCGCUCUUCCCCCGCCGCGUCGCGCAACACAAUUUCCCGUACUAAUUACUCUGCCGGCGAGGGCGGUCAUUCUCACUUUGCCGCCGCGACAAAGAAGAGCCGGAUCGCGCAUGACGAGAUACCCGCAGCCGGCCCGCUGCGGCUUGCUUCACGGCUCCAUAGCGUGAAAUGUCGGCUAAUAGAGCGGCCCGAGGACGGCCUUGAAAGACGCGAUAAAAAUCGAUAAAAUGAUCCUCGGCUAGUCCGCAGCGCUAAGCUAGGCAUUAGGCCGCCGCACGUGCGGCGUGCGGGAGCGCUGAGCCCCGGCACUUUAACGGCCCUGCGGGGCUCGGCCGGUCGAGCGCGAUUCCGGGCUAUCGAGAUCUCGCGCCGCUUCUUUCCAGCCGCCGAUAAAGCGAUCGACAGCUCCGCGUCAAAGGCGAGCGAUACCCCGAAGCGCUAAUAUCCCGCACUCGCUGCGCGUCAAACGCAUAAGCCCUUAAUUGAAUGAGCCAGCGAGACGGGAAAUUAGGAAUCGCUGCGAGCUCUCGUCGUCGAGGAGAGGCGCCCUCGUCAUCGCCCGCGCCAUUUCUCAUGGGAAAAAUACACUGCUAACUUAGAAAAAGCUGCGCGCGGAAGCGACUUGCUUUCGAAAACGCCCGAGUCAUCGCUCCGGUGAAUAAGUCUGACGACUCGAAUUAGCAAUACACAGCGCGUAUCCGCAUCGACUGCUGCGCGCGCCCUCGUAAUCCGAUUCGAGGAGUUUCUUUGAAAUUGGAUUAUUUGAACGCCGGCGCGGAUUCCUUUGAAUAAUCAGUGCAUUGACGGGUGUAUAACAAUUCCGCGGCGCCGAGUAAGUUUAUUUUCCUUUGCCGCUGGUUCAAUUAAACUGUUGCUGGGAGCGCCUGGGGGCAAAAUAGACGGAACGAAAAUGUGCUGCUAACUCUGUGGAAGUAAAUUUGAGCAAAAUAAACACGGAGGCUGAACCGAUGCUUUUUAACUCUGGCGAACUCUCGGCUAUCUGAGCUCUCUCUCUCUCUCACUCUCUCGUCGGGCACCACGUCGGGUAAACACGGUCCGCUGCAGCAGCGCGCAGAGAGAGGCUAAUUCGGUAUGGGCUUGCGGUCGCGAGUGACGGCUGCGCAUACGGCGAAGCAGCGGGAAAUCGAACGGAGCCGCCUGUAUACAUUACGCGGGGGAUAUUUCGGGAGAGCAAAGCAAGCUGCACUGGUGUCUGCCGAUAUUCUCGCGGAGGCGUCGCUCCCGGCUUGCGGAUGAAUGGCAGUCGUGAUUGGUCGCGCGGCUCCGAAUCAAAGGGCUAUUGCGCUCUGAUGCUGCGGCCCUAAUGCGAUGAGCGCGAGGAAAAGUGCGUCCCCGAGGCGAGCCGAUUGCGAGUUUUCAACUUGACAAAACGCAAAAUUUUUCCCGCCCGGCCUCCGAUUCGGCCGGCUGCAGGCAACUCGUAACAAGUUUAGCUAUAACCAGCAGCGCGCGAGUGAGAUGUACUUGGCUGCGCGCUUACAAUCAUUUGCGCGACUAAUUAAGAACUCGAGAUUAAAAUAGUUGAGCUGCGCCGGAGAGGUAAAAAUUGUUAAUCAACUGAAAGUCCUUGGAAAAGAAAAAUUCGAAAUACCUCCUGCGAACUUUGCUGGCACCACCGAAAGACGCUCUCUCACUCCGGCAGCGAAGAAGCAGAGAGGAGAGGCGCCGCGCGAUGGUGGGGGAGCUUUGCCUGCCGAAGCGAGACCGUAUCGAGAGAGAGAGAGAGAAAGCGAUCGCUCGUUCGUCCCUCGGUUUUUCGGUGCCAGAAGCUCCGCUCGCCCGGCUAAAUUGGAUCGGGCGGAUGUUCCGCGAGCGAUAGUUGAGCUAUUCCUUUUCGUCGUGGCGACCGAGGAAAGUUGGAACCUCUGCGUGAUUUUUCGCGAGACGCCGCUAAUUGAGCAGUUGGAGAAGUUGUUAGCAUAAUCAAGGAGGAGUUUCCGAGACCUUCCCAGACCGCGACCGCACACCCACACACGUCUAGUCUGCCUAGCCGGGACGGAGGGAGCUCAAAGGACGCUCGAGAGCUCGGCAUGGUAAACUACGGCUGCGCGAAAACGGGCAGCGGCGGCAUAGAGUGCUUCGUCGAGUUCAAGGAACGAGCGGACGAGUCGGGCGGCCAAGGCAUGGGCGCGAUGACGAGGUGCAUCGAGCUGAUGGCCGUCGUCGGCUCCUUCCUGCUGAUCCUCCUGACGAUGCCGUUCUCGCUCUGCGUCAUUUUCAAGGUCGUGCAGGAGUACGAGCGGGCCGUGGUCUUCCGGAUGGGCCGACUGAAGGCCGGACCGCAGGGACCGGGUAAGCAGCCUGCAUAUAUAUAUACAUAUAUAAUAUAAAAAUCUUGCAAAAAGCGCGCGCCCGUAAAUCACGUUCAUUCGAGGGGGGCGUGCACGUGCGCACAGUACGUGCGGUAGUGCUCGUCGUCGAAAGAAACGCCGCGUAAGCCAAUUGUGUCCCAGCGUGCAGCAGCCCACGUGUGUGUCGACAGGAACGUUCUUCGUGAUACCGUGCAUCGACAAUUGCGUGCGCGUCGAUUUACGGACGGUCUCGUUCGACGUGCCGCCGCAGGAGGUCCUCACCAAGGACUCCGUCACCGUCAGCGUAGACGCGGUCGUCUAUUAUCGCAUCAAGGAGCCCCUCAAUGCCGUCGUCAAGAUUGCCAACUACAGCCACUCGACCCGACUGCUGGCCGCGAGCACGCUGCGCACCGUCCUGGGCACCAGGAGCCUCGCCGAGAUCCUGGCCGAGCGCGAGACCAUCUCGCACACGAUGCAGGCGGCCCUCGACGAGGCCACCGAGCCCUGGGGCGUCAAGGUGGAGCGCGUCGAGAUCAAGGACGUGCGCCUGCCGGUGCAGCUGCAGCGCGCGAUGGCCGCCGAGGCGGAGGCGGCGCGCGAGGCCCGCGCCAAAGUCAUCGCCGCCGAGGGGGAGAUGCGCUCUUCUCGGGCCCUCAAGGAGGCCAGCGACGUCCUCUCCAUGAGCCCGGCAGCCCUUCAGCUCAGAUACCUGCAGACGCUGAACAACAUAUCGGCCGAGAAGAACUCGACCAUCAUCUUCCCGCUGCCCGUGGAGCUGUUCACGCCCUUCUUCUCGUCGUGGAACCGAUCGCGAGGAUGAACAACAGAGCGGCCUGGCCUGCUGCUGUACGAUCCAAUUCCAGCUUUGCAAUAAAACUUCCGCCCGAGCAUUUCGAA